rnacentral:lncRNA from 1 species
CAUAAACUUAAAAGAUAAAUGAGAAUGAAAAUAACCGAAAUAAUCGUAUACAUGUACUGUUCAUUCUUAGAUACAUAUAGGAACUUUCCGAAGAUGUGGUAUGAGUGCCAAUGAGACAACUCUCCAUACAAGAACAUGUUUAGAACAAUAAUAUAUAGAAUUAUUUAGUAUAUGGAUAUAAGAAAGGGUACUCCAUUAUGGCACAAAAAAAAACAAACCAACCUCAAUAAAUCUGAAAAAAAAUUCAGAACAAAUUCUUAUCAAUAUUCAACAAUGAGCAAAACCCACACAGCAAAAUCAACUAUAGAUGGCUCCAAUAUGACAGAUGUAUAUCAAUUUAAACUUGAAGCUAACGACCAGAUUUAUGUUAAAACAAUAAACAAAGUACAAAUAUGAAACACAGUAACGAACGACUACCACUGACUUACAGGCUCCUGAUUUGGCACAGGCACAGGCACAGGGAGCUCAACGCUCAUCUAACCAGAGACAGAGGUGUGAGAGGUCAUCAUAUUAAUUCACAUUGAAAAUAAGUUGAAAAUUAAUUAACUUAUCAGAGUGAUGCAAAGCAGAUAAAAGACCAGACGUUGCAGGUUAUUUGUACAUUCCAAC